UGUUCAUAUCAUGUUGAAACACCAGUUCACCAUCUGAUCACUGAAGUUAAGCAACAUUGAACCUAGUCAGUACCUAGAUGGGUGAUCACUGGGGAAUACCAGGUAUUGUAAG